rnacentral:rRNA from 1 species
UGGGGAAUAUUGGACAAUGGGCGAAAGCCUGAUCCAGCCAUGCCGCGUGUGUGAAGAAGGUCUUCGGAUUGUAAAGCACUUUAAGUUGGGAGGAAGGGCAGUAAGUUAAUACCUUGCUGUUUUGACGUUACCGACAGAAUAAGCACCGGCUAACUCUGUGCCAGCAGCCGCGGUAAUACAGAGGGUGCAAGCGUUAAUCGGAAUUACUGGGCGUAAAGCGCGCGUAGGUGGGUUGUUAAGUUGGAUGUGAAAGCCCCGGGCUCAACCUGGGAACUGCAUCCAAAACUGGCAGGCUAGAGUACGGUAGAGGGUGGUGGAAUUUCCUGUGUAGCGGUGAAAUGCGUAGAUAUAGGAAGGAACACCAGUGGCGAAGGCGACCACCUGGACUGAUACUGACACUGAGGUGCGAAAGCGUGGGGAGCAAACA